rnacentral:rRNA from 1 species
UACGAAGGGUGCAAGCGUUACUCGGAAUUACUGGGUGUAAAGCGUGCGUAGGUGGUUUGUUAAGUCUGCUGUGAAAGCCCCGGGCUCAACCUGGGAAUGGCAGUGGAUACUGGCAAGCUAGAGUGCGGUAGAGGGGUGUGGAAUUCCCGGUGUAGCGGUGAAAUGCGUAGAGAUCGGGAGGAACACCAGUGGCGAAGGCGGCACCCUGGACCAGCACUGACACUGAGGCACGAAAGCGUGGGGAGCAAACAGG